UACGGAGGGUGCGAGCGUUGUCCGGAAUCAUUGGGCGUAAAGGGCGCGUAGGUGGCCCGGUCAGUCAGUGGUGAAAUCUCGGAGCUUAACUCCGAAACUGCAUUCGAUACUGCCGUGCUUGAGGACUGGAGAGGAGACUGGAAUUUACGGUGUAGCGGUGAAAUGCGUAGAUAUCGGGAGGAACACCAGUGGCGAAGGCGACUACCUGGCCUGUUCUUGACGCUGAGGCGCGAAAGCUAGGGGAGCAAACGGG
rnacentral:rRNA from 1 species